rnacentral:rRNA from 1 species
AACCUCUGCAAUAGGCGAAAGCUUGACAGGGUUACUCUGAGUGAUUUCCGUUAAGGAGAUCUUUUGGCACCUCUAAAAAUGGUGCAGAAUAAGGGGUGGGCAAGUCUGGUGUCAGCCGCCGCGGUAAUACCAGCACCCCGAGUGGUCGGGACGUUUAUUGGGCCUAAAGCAUCCGUAGCCGGUUCUACAAGUCUUCCGUUAAAUCCACCUGCUCAACAGAUGGGCUGCGGAAGAUACUAUGGAGCUAGGAGGCGGGAGAGGCAAGCGGUACUCGAUGGGUAGGGGUAAAAUCCGUUGAUCCAUUGAAGACCACCAGUGGCGAAGGCGGCUUGCCAGAACGCGCUCGACGGUGAGGGAUGAAAGCUGGGGGAGCAAACCGGAUUAGAUACCCGGGUAGUCCCAGCUGUAAACGAUGCAGACUCGGUGAUGAGUUGGCUUUAUGCCAACUCAGUGCCGCAGGGAAGCCGUUAAGUUGCCGCCUGGGGAGUACGUCGCAGAUCUU